rnacentral:rRNA from 1 species
AUUGAACGCUGGCGGCAUGCCUUACACAUGCAAGUCGAGCGGCAGCGCGGGGGCAACCCUGGCGGCGAGCGGCGGACGGGUGAGUAAUACAUCGGAACGUGUCCUGUCGUGGGGGAUAACCAGUCGAAAGACUGGCUAAUACCGCAUGAGAUCUCACGAUGAAAGCGGGGGACCCCAGGGUAACUUCGGGGCCUCGCGCGAUUGGAGCGGCCGAUGUCGGAUUAGCAGUUGGCGGGGUAAAAGCCCACCAAGGCGACGAUCCGUAGCUGGUUUGAGAGAACGACCAGCCACACUGGGACUGAGACACGGCCCAGACUCCUACGGGAGGCAGCAGUGGGGAAUUUGGACAAUGGGGGCAACCCUGAUCCAGCCAUGCCGCGUGUGUGAAGAAGGCC